rnacentral:ncRNA from 1 species
UUAUCAACCGUAAGAAGAACGAGUAUUUAAAGCCCAUAACUUAAAGCGAAUUGAGGAUAGUGCGAGCUCAAAAAGUUAUUCUUUUAAGAAAAACAUCUUCUUUGUUUCUAAGCUGAAAUCACAGUAGGCUUAGACGGGGCCGGCCCGUUACAGCUUGGAAAGCAUUUCGAUGCUUAUUUUAAGAUGUUUAAUUUAAUUAAACGAAUUUUGGGUGGUACCGCGAAAGUCCUUCGUCCCUUCU